AUCUCUCAACCAAUCAGUUUUUAUUAACUUGCUUGGCUUGGAUGUGAGGGCUGCGGGGUGGCUUUACAGUCGUCGGCUCCCUUUAAAUGCAUUAGCUGGGGACUUAGUAUGUCGUUCGAGUGCUUCAAUGCUUGAAGACCUCCGGUGUGAUAAUUAUCUACGCUGUUGGUUUAGUUGUUGCACACAUUUGGACUUCAGAAUUGACUCUGCUUCUAAUCGUCUCGCAAGAGACUAGUCCACAUGGGCUACAUUGACAA
rnacentral:misc_RNA from 1 species